GACGUAGGGCGCGAGCGUUGUCCGGAUUUAUUGGGCGUAAAGAGCUCGUAGGCGGUUUGUCGCGUCGUCUGUGAAAACCCACGGCUCAACUGUGGGCUUGCAGUCGAUACGGGCAGGCUAGAGUUCGGUAGGGGAGGACUGGAAUUCCUGGUGUAGCGGUGAAAUGCGCAGAUAUCAGGAGGAACACCGGUGGCGAAGGCGGGUCUCUGGGCCGAUACUGACGCUGAGGAGCGAAAGCGUGGGGAGCGAACAGG
rnacentral:rRNA from 1 species